GUGUCAGCAGCCGCGGUAAUACGGAGGGUGCAAGCGUUAUCCGGAUUCACUGGGUUUAAAGGGUGCGUAGGUGGAUCGAUAAGUCAGUGGUGAAAGCCCCGAGCUCAACUUGGGAAUUGCCAUUGAUACUGUUGAUCUUGAGUGCGGUUGAGGUAGACGGAAUAUGUCAUGUAGCGGUGAAAUGCUUAGAUAUGACAUAGAACACCAAUUGCGAAGGCAGUUUACCAAGCCGAUACUGACACUGAGGCACGAAAGCGUGGGGAUCAAACAGGAUUAGAAACCCGUGUAGUCC
rnacentral:rRNA from 1 species